rnacentral:rRNA from 1 species
AUUGCACGAUGGCGGCAGGCUUAACACAUGCAAGUCGAACGAGUGGCGGACGGGUGAGUAAUGCUUUGGAAUCUAGCUUAUGGAGGGGGAUAACUACGGGAAACUGUAGCUACUACCGCGUACCAUAGGAGGAGCCCAAGUGGGAUUCGGUAGUUGGUGAGGGAAAGGCUCACCAAGCCGAAGACCACUAGCUGGUCGGAGAGGAUGACCAGCCACACUGGGACUGAGCAAGGGCCCAGACUCCUACGGGAGGCAGCAGUGGGGAAUAUUGCGCAAUGGGGACAACAUUACGCAGCCAUGCCGCGUGAAUGAAGAAGGCUUUCGGGUUGUAAAGUUCUUUCGUUAGCGAGGCGUUAACUACAGAAGAAGCACCGGCUAACUCCGUGCCAGCCGCCGCGGUAAUAC